GUUAAGCGACUAAGCGUACACGGUGGAUGCCCUGGCAGUCAGAGGCGAUGAAGGACGUGCUAAUCUGCGAUAAGCGUCGGUGAGGUGAUAUGAACCGUUAUAACCGGCGAUUUCCGAAUGGGGAAACCCAGUGUGUUUCGACACACUAUCAUUAACUGAAUCCAUAGGUUAAUGAGGCGAACCGGGGGAACUGAAACAUCUAAGUACCCCGAGGAAAAGAAAUCAACCGAGAUUCCCCCAGUAGCGGCGAGCGAACGGGGAGGAGCCCAGAGCCUGAAUCAGUGUGUGUGUUAGUGGAAGCGUCUGGAAAGGCGCGCGAUACAGGGUGACAGCCCCGUACACAAAAAUGCACAUACUGUGAGCUCGAUGAGUAGGGCGGGACACGUGGUAUCCUGUCUGAAUAUGGGGGGACCAUCCUCCAAGGCUAAAUACUCCUGACUGACCGAUAGUGAACCAGUACCGUGAGGGAAAGGCGAAAAGAACCCCGGCGAGGGGAGUGAAAAAGAACCUGAAACCGUGUACGUACAAGCAGUGGGAGCCUCUUAAUGGGGUGACUGCGUACCUUUUGUAUAAUGGGUCAGCGACUUAUAUUCUGUAGCAAGGUUAACCGAAUAGGGGAGCCGAAGGGAAACCGAGUCUUAACUGGGCGUUAAGUUGCAGGGUAUAGACCCGAAACCCGGUGAUCUAGCCAUGGGCAGGUUGAAGGUUGGGUAACACUAACUGGAGGACCGAACCGACUAAUGUUGAAAAAUUAGCGGAUGACUUGUGGCUGGGGGUGAAAGGCCAAUCAAACCGGGAGAUAGCUGGUUCUCCCCGAAAGCUAUUUAGGUAGCGCCUCGUGAAUUCAUCUCCGGGGGUAGAGCACUGUUUCGGCAAGGGGGUCAUCCCGACUUACCAACCCGAUGCAAACUGCGAAUACCGGAGAAUGUUAUCACGGGAGACACACGGCGGGUGCUAACGUCCGUCGUGAAGAGGGAAACAACCCAGACCGCCAGCUAAGGUCCCAAAGUCAUGGUUAAGU
rnacentral:rRNA from 1 species